AUUGAACGCUUGCGGCAGGCCUAACACAUGCAAGUCGAACGAGUGGCGGACGGGUGAGUAAUGUCUGUGAAACUUCCUGAUGGAGGGGGAUAACUACUGGAAACGGUAGCUAAUACCGCAUACCAUCAGAUGUGCCCAGAUGUGAUUAGCUGGUUUGUUGGGGAACGGCUCACCAAGGCGACGAUCCCUAUCUGGUCUGAGAGGAUGACCAGCCAAACUGGAACGGAGACACGGUCCAGACUCCGACGGGAGGCAGCAGUGGGGAAUAUUGCACAAUGGGCGAAAGCCUGAUGCAGCCAUGCCGCGUGUAUGAAGAAGGCCUUCGGGUUGUAAAGUACUUUCAGCGGGGAGGCGUUACCCGCAGAAGAAGCACCGGCUAACUCCGUGCCAGCAGCCGCGGUAAUAC
rnacentral:rRNA from 1 species